AGUGAACGCUGGCGGCAGGCCUAACACAUGCAAGUCGAACGGAUCCUCCGGGAUUGCUGGCUGAAGGGGGAGUAAAACGGGGGAACAUGCCUUAGUAACCGGAACUACACUGUGAAAUUAGAGCUAAUAACGGGUGCGCUCUGCGGGUACAAGAUUCAUCCGCAUGGUAGCGGCGCGCGACUGUUUAGCUUGUUGGUGAGGCAACGGCCCACCAAGGCUACGAUCAUUAGCUGGUCUGAGAGGAUGCUCAGCCACACUGGGACUGAGACACGGGCUAGACUCCUACGGAAUGGAGCAGUGGGUAAUCCUGCGCAAUGGGGGAAAGCGUGACGCCGCCAUGCCGGGUGAAUGAUGAUGGUUUUAGGAAAGUACAAUUCUUUAAGCGGGGACGAUAAUGACGGUACCCGCAGAAGAAGCUCCGGCUAACUUCGUG
rnacentral:rRNA from 1 species